AAUCAACGCUGGCGGCGUGCCUAACACAUGCAAGUCGAGCGCGAAAGGGGAGCAAUCCCCUAGUAGAGCGGCGAACGGGUGAGUAACGCGUGGGUGAUCUACCUCCGAGUGGGGAAUAACCCCGGGAAACUGGGCUAAUACCGCAUGACAUCCCUGAGUCACAUCGGGGAUCAAAGCCGGGGACCGCAAGGCCUGGCGUUUGGAGAUGAGCCCGCGUCCGAUUAGCUAGUUGGCGGGGAAUGGCCCACCAAGGCUUCGAUCGGUAGCCGGCCUGAGAGGGCGGACGGCCACACUGGGGCUGAGACACGGCCCAGACUCCUACGGGAGGCAGCAGUGGGGAAUUUUUCGCAAUGGGGGAAACCCUGACGAAGCAACGCCGCGUGGAGGAUGAAGGCCUUCGGUCGUAACUACC
rnacentral:rRNA from 1 species